rnacentral:snoRNA from 1 species
CAAUUUCAACUUAUGAUCUGACCAUUCAAACUCUAAAUGGUUUAGAUUCUGAAUAUAAUCCUAUAGUUGUAAAAUUGUCUGAUCAAAUUACACUCAUUUGGGUGAAUUUACAAGCUCAAUUGCUGAGUUUGAAAA